UUCUCUGCGUCAUGACAAUAAAAAUACUUCGAUAAGGAAGUUCGCAGAGCGUGCUCAUGCAUAGUCACCAGAUGUGUCGCGAAUAUGUAAAGCGAAUGUAAAUUUAACGAGCGAAUGUACAAUUGUUCUUGCGUGUGGUGCCAAUUAAAGUGCAAUGUUUUGAUUAAAGUGUACGUAUGGCUCAUACAGUGGAUUAUUUUCUAUUUAAAAAGAGUACUUGAUCGUAUUGGAUAUUAAAAAAAUAUUGCACUACUUGCGGCGGCGUGAUUG